UACAGAGGUCCCAAGCGUUGUUCGGAUUCACUGGGCGUAAAGGGUGCGUAGGCGGUCGGGUAAGUCUGGCGUGAAAUCUCCAAGCCUAACUUGGAAACUGCGUUGGAUACUAUCCGGCUCGAGGAAUGGAGGGGAGACUGGAAUACUUGGUGUAGCAGUGAAAUGCGUAGAUAUCAAGUGGAACACCAGUGGCGAAGGCGGCCUGCUGGGCUAUGGCUGACACUGAGGCGCGACAGCGUGGGGAGCAAACAGG
rnacentral:rRNA from 1 species